AUACGGAGGGUGCAAGCGUUAAUGGGAAUUACUGGGCGUAAAGCGCGCGUAGGCGGAUAUUUAAGUCUCAUGUGAAAGCCCUGGGCUCAACCUGGGAACUGCAUGGGAUACUGGGUAUCUAGAAUACAGUAGAGGGUAGUGGAAUUUCAGGUGUAGCGGUGAAAUGCGUAGAGAUCUGAAGGAACAUCAGUGGCGAAGGCGACUACCUGGACUGAUAUUGACGCUGAGGUGCGAAAGCGUGGGGAGCAAACGGGAUUAGAAACCCUUGUAGUCC
rnacentral:rRNA from 1 species